ensembl:lncRNA
CCUCAGACGCCCCACAUUCCAGCGUUGCCGUGGCUGCCUGCCUGCAUCCGUGGUCACGGCGAUUCCAUGGGUUCCUACAAUCCUUCAGCAGCUUGCUGAUUUGGGGUGGGCAACCGACUCUCAGAGACAGGGGGCGGGGGGGAGACAGUGGAAGAGAGGGACAUAAGAGAGGGAUGAGAGAGAGCGAGGGAGACAGGAGAGGGAGACAGAUAGAGGGAGAUUCAAGCAGAAGAGAGGACACAAGAAAAGGUAAAUGAUAAAGUAAGGUGACGGAGCAAAAAACACUAAAUAUAUUCAACAGCGGCACAUUGUACUAUAGAUUCAUAGAUUUUUUUGCAUCUCCUUCUAAUACUAAUUUGUCAUAUUUGUAUACAUCAAUAAAUACUUACACCAGAAAUAAAAUGUCUCAUAGAAAAAAUAAACACAGUAUAAAAAAAGUAAAGCUCUGAGAACAUUUUAAGUGGAAAAAUGAAUCUUUGUUAGAGUAUUUUAAUCUGUGGACAGCAGAAAAAAAAUAGCAUGUUCACAGUCAGAAUGUGGAAGGUGAGCGAGGUAGAAGGUCUCUCCGAGAACAGAGGAACGAGGGAAUGGAAGGUGAGCGAGGUAGGUCUCUCCUAGAACAGAGGAAUGAGUCCCUGCUGAGGACCCUUGCAUGUCUGUGUGCAAUGUCUCUGUCUGUGUUAGCGUAGUUGUGACUCUCAAUGUCUGCGCAACAAAAUGUCUCUGUGAAGUUGAAAGUGCUCCACUGUUCAGUGUGUGUGUGUGUGUGGUGUGUGUUUCUGUCCUCGUGUCUGUGUAUCACAGGAGGAGCACACACCUCUAAAUGCGUCCCUGGCAUUGUAACAUUUAAUGUGUCAUUUAAAUCCGUGAGGGAUUAUAGCUCUGCUGUCAAAAGGAGCAAAAAAGCUCCUUGAAUCCAUUUGUUUUUUAAAGGACCAUCUCAGCCGGAUGGAUAGUCGGUGGGCAGCGGUGGUGAUUUGGAGCCUGGGUCAUGCUAAGAGUCCAGAGGAAAGCGUGGCACGGAACAAGUCUGUCCUAGAUUAAGAGCCUGCUCUAAUCCUCCAUUUCUGCGCACACAUUGGGUUUCCCUCAAUCUCAGCCUGACCGUCCUAAUGGGAGAACUAAAGCUGGAGGCCACAUAAUCACAACGUUAAAAGCCGCGAGAGAGGCAGAGAAAGAGAUACAGAGAGAGACAGGGAAAUAGUAAAUAAAAGAGUGUGUGUGAGAGAUGAACAGCUUGAUUGGGUUCAGUCCAGGUUGCAAAAGUCAUGUAACGUCCCCAGUGGAAAACAUUCCCGCAGUGUGAGGUGCAGUCAGGGUCCUGUUUGUCUGGACAACACCACCCCGGGGGCCUGGGAGUUUGUGGGCUCCUUGUCCAGGUACAGGCUGAAGUGCUGGAUGCUGCAGGAGCCUCUCGCUGGCCAGGGACAGGUUCUUAUCCCAGUUGGGUGGGUAGCCUGUGUGCCUCUCCACGAUUUCCUUACAUAGCUGUCAAUCACAAAGAACACAACUUGUAUACAAUGACCAUAACAAGCACCACUGUACAAAUCUUGACCAUAUACUGUAUGUGAUUAUGGUUAAUGCUCAUACACCCAUUUGUUUGCUAUGGGAGGACUGACUCUCUGUGUAGGAUAGCUCAAACAGGCGAGCUUUCUCCUCUCCCUGGAUCCUCUCAGCCAGGUCAAACAGGCGAGCUUUCUCCUCUCCCUGGAUCCUCUCAGCCAGGUCAAACAGGCGAGCUUUCUCCUCUCCCUGGAUCCUCUCAGCCAGGUCAAACAGACCAGCUUUCUCCUCUUCCUGGAUCCUCUCAGCCAGGUCAAACAGACCAGCUUUCUCCUCUUCCUGGAUCCUCUCAGCCAGGUCAAACAGGCCAGCUUUCUCCUCUCCCUGGAUCCUCUCAGCCAGGUCAAACAGACCAGCUUUCUCCUCUCCCUGGAUCCUCUCAGCCAGGUCAAACAGAAAGAAAGCCGUCUUCAUCCUGAAACAAAGAGACCAUAUCACAGGCUCAGAGCUAAGUUCUGGAUGGAUGAACUGUGGAGAUUUAUCCACAGAGAUGCACUAGGAGAAUAUAGUGAUUUAUGUAGAUGCUAGCUACACAACAGCAUUUCAUGUAGAAUAGCUGGUGCUCUACCACACCAGAGUGGGUUACGUAGAUGUUUUAGCUGGCAGACUAGGCUGAUCUGUCAGAGAGGCUCUCUGUAAACUAUACAUAUAUACAGUGACUGCAAGAGAAAAGAGAGUCAGUGUCUUCAGCGUUUACUCUUUACUUUACCUGGCCGGCCACAUCUCCUAGACCCCCUUACCCAGGACCCUAGGUGGUAAAUGGAACAAGACACAGCUCUAUAUCUCAACACCUCCGGGGCUUUUCUCAUGCAUCAUUCCUUCCACACAAUCAUAUUCAUUCAUGUAUCACUAUGGGAUGUUAAUACACAUUGUUCAAAGUGU